CAUUUAAGCAGUGGGAUGUUGGGAAGGAAUUAAAAGGAACUUGAUUUAAGAAAAGAAAAACCAUUAUACUAGCAACCAUUAUCAUUAUAUAGAAGUAGUAGUAAUAGUAUUUAAAUUUGGAUUAUUUUUUAUAUUAUUAAUAGAACUUAGGAAGAAUCGGAUUUAAAUUAUCACCCUAUAAAUAUUGUAUUUAUUGAUAUCUUUGUUAUUGGAGCACAGUAGAUCAUUGAAAAUUUCUUUAAAUUUUGUAUUUUCUGGGCUCGCCGUGCGCCGCCUGAGCCAUUUGGACGCGCGCUCAGAUGUGCCGGACAUCCAGGGGAGUUUGACCCACAGCGGGUCUCUGUGGCCGCUUACUGACUGACUGACUGCACUGUGCUCGGGUUCAUUUAGGGGGCGCCAGUGUAUAAUGCGCGCAGACUGAGCGGCCGAGAUUUGGAUGGAGAGAGAAGCUGCAAAAACAGAUGGCCUGAGUAUGAUAAAGGCAAAUUUGAGCUCAGAUCAUCCGGAGCAUCCUGCCACGGACCAAGCGAUCAGGAGUGCACUCCAAAAUUUUGGGUGAUUUGACAAUUUGACUCCUCUUCAGUUAUUGAUAGAUGAGCUCCCAGCUGAUGCCACUUUGCUGCAAUCAGGAGGCAGUAGUUAGAGGAGUGGAUUUCCUAGGAUGGACGCCAGUUGUUUAACUUUCACACUGUGUCGCGCUGGUUCCAAGUCCAUCUUCCUCACUGCCUCCUGGAUCCAUCCAAAGAGCUCAUCUGCCCGUCCGCCCAUCAGAGAAAGAGAAAGGAUCCCUGCUCAGGAUACACAAAGGAAGAGAGCCUAUGCUGAAACCAAACGGCGUGCAAAGGAAUUAACAUUCUAAUU